CACUCACCCACGAGGACCACCAGGGAACACCGCCUUCCAGCGUGCCGGACCCCCCCUCCCAGGCUAAAGGUAAGAAGGGAGGGGGGGAAAUAAUGACUUUUUUUUUUUUUUAUUUACCCCCCCUACACACACACACAAUAACAUUUAUACAGCACUCUCACACCCAUCACACACAGCACUCUCUCCCACAGCACUCUCACACCCAUCACACACAGCACUCUCUCCCACAGCACUCUCACACCCAUCACACACAGCACUC